rnacentral:rRNA from 1 species
UACGGGGGGGGCAAGCGUUGUUCGGAAUUACUGGGCGUAAAGGGCUCGUAGGUGGCCAACUAAGUCAGACGUGAAAUCCCUCAGCUUAACUGGGGAACUGCGUCUGAUACUGGAUGGCUUGAGUUUGGGAGAGGGAUGCGGAAUUCCAGGUGUAGCGGUAGAAAUGCGUAGAUAUCUGGAGGAACACCGGUGGCGAAGGCGGCAUCCUGGACCAAUACUGACACUGAGGAGCGAAAGCGUGGGGAGCAAACAGG